AGCGAACGUUUGCGGCGGGCCUAACACAUGCAAGUCGAACGCACUAGCAAUAGUGAGUGGCGCACGGGUGCGUAACACGUGGGUAAUCAACCCUUCAGCUUGGGAUAACGACUUGAAAGGGUCGCUAAUACCGGAUACGGCGCGGGAGGCUUCGGCUUCUCACGAGAAAGCCUCGCAAGGGGCACUGAAGGACGAGCCUGCGGCCCAUCAGCUAGUUGGUGAGGUAAGAGCUCACCAAGGCGAAGACGGGUAGCUGGUCUGAGAGGAUGAUCAGCCACACUGGAACUGAGACACGGUCCAGACUCCUACGGGAGGCAGCAGUGGGGAAUAUUGCGCAAUGGGCGAAAGCCUGACGCAGCCACGCCGCGUGAGCGAUGAAGGCCU
rnacentral:rRNA from 1 species